UGGUUGAAACAAAGCGGUAUGUUUUGACUGGCACUAACGGCACUAACGGCACAACGGUUGAGGAGUGAAGAUCAGUUGAGCGUUUCUGUGACUCCGCCCAGCGGCUGCUCUUCUGAGAGGCACCGCUCUGACAGCUCUGUCUACUGGGAAACGCGCUAAAAGUCCUUCUGGAGGCUUUGCAUUUGAACUCCUAUGACUGGUUGCGGACUUGAAGGGAAUAACUUCCUGGCCUUCCUAACAUCCAGGAAAAAGUUUUAUUGGACAGUAGAGAUCUAAUGGAAACAGUGGAGAGG